AUACGUAGGGGGCGAGCGUUGUCCGGAAUGAUUGGGCGUAAAGGGCGCGUAGGCGGCCCGGUAAGUCUGGAGUGAAAGUCCUGUUUUUAAGAUGGGAAUUGCUUUGGAUACCGUCGGGCUUGAGUGCAGGAGAGGUAAGUGGAAUUCCCAGUGUAGCGGUGAAAUGCGUAGAGAUUGGGAGGAACACCAGUGGCGAAGGCGACUUACUGGACUGUAACUGACGCUGAGGCGCGAAAGUGUGGGGAGCAAACAGGAUUAGAUACCCUGGUAGUCCACACUGUAAACGAUGAAUGCUAGGUGUAGGGGGUAUCGACCCCUUCUGUGCCGCAGUCAACACAAUAAGCAUUCCGCCUGGGGAGUACGGCCGCAAGGUUGAAACUCAAAUGAAUUGACGGGG
rnacentral:rRNA from 1 species